rnacentral:rRNA from 1 species
AACAAACGCUGGCGGCGUGCCUAAUACAUGCAAGUCGAACGGGGAAAGUAGCAAUAUGAGUACUAGUGGCGCACGGGUGAGUAACACGUGGGUAAUCUGCCUUCAAGCUUGGGAUAACUAUCCGAAAGGAUGGCUAAUACCGAAUAAGACCACAGGAUCUGCGGAUCCAGAGGUCAAAGGUUUUUCGCUUGAAGAUGAGCCCGCGCAGGAUUAGCUAGUUGGUGAGGUAAUGGCUCACCAAGGCUACGAUCCUUAGCUGGUCUGAGAGGAUGAUCAGCCACACUGGAACUGAGACACGGUCCAGACUCCUACGGGAGGCAGCAGUAGGGAAUAUUGCGCAAUGGGCGAAAGCCUGACGCAGCGACGCCGCGUGAGUGAUGAAGGCCUUCGGGUCGUGAAGCUCUGUUGCAGGGGAAUAAGCAAGUGAAUGUACCCUGUGAGGAAGGAUCGGCUAACUUCGUGCCAGCAGCCGCGGUAAGACGAGGGAUCCUAGCGUUGUCGGAAUCAUUGGGCGUAA